rnacentral:rRNA from 1 species
CAUGCCGCGUGUGUGAAGAAGGCCCUAGGGUUGUAAAGCACUUUCAAUUGGGAGGAAAGGUUGCGUGUUAAUAGCACGUAACUGUGACAUUACCUUUAGAAGAAGCACCGGCUAACUCCGUGCCAGCAACUGCGGUGACUGAGCGGGCUGGCAAGGCGCAUA